CUCUCUCUCUCAGAUAAAUAUAUAAAAUUUUCAGGAGAAAAAAAAAAAAAAGAACAUUGGAUUUCAAAAGGUCUUCCCUUUCUGUAAGCACCUGGGUAAGCGGAAUGGCUCUGAAGUCCAGAGCUGUGACAGCUCGGAUGGCAGAGCCACAGAAGGGCUCUGUGAAAGCUCCAGAAGAAGGGCUCCAGAAGAGGAGGCUGGGUCCCCAUGCUGAUCUCUACUCCGUUCCUCACGUGGAAAGAUAUCCCAGGUACAUUUACUCUUUCUUGCAAAAAAAUAAAAUUUUAAUUUAGC
rnacentral:lncRNA from 1 species